rnacentral:lncRNA from 1 species
UUUGACAACAUUGACUGGAAUAAAUGAACUUUAGUCUCAAACAUUACUUUAAAAGCCAAUGACUUCCAAGUACAGACCAGUACUAAGGCUUAUGCUUGACUUCCUACUUCUGUCUUUGAACUCCAGAAUUGCCUUGAGUAUCACAGAGAAGAAGGUGGUUCUGUGCUGAGUUGGCUGCUGUUUAGCUGGGAUGGCUGAUAAGACAGUCACAGGUAGCAUAUGUACUUAGUGGGUGUAAUCAUUGCAUUUAAUGACAGUGCUGUGGGGAGAUACAACUUUGGGGGAGAUCAUCUUUAGGAAGAGACCUGAGAGGCAAUAAAUUAAUGUUUACUGGGUGAUCCUCUAACAAGUCACUGGAAGUUGUGACAGCUGGCUUCAUGGGAAGGGAUUUACUCUUGGUGCUAAAUGAGAGAUGAAGAAUGAACAGGUGGUGAAAUCCACCUGCGCUGAAACCACCGACAGCUGAAGCAGCAGAAAAGGAGUGUGUGUCAGUGGAGAGAGGCAAAGAGAGAGCUGAGAUUGUUAAAGAAGAGAAAAUGAUCGUUACAGAUGUUGUCUGAAUAAGCAUCACAUGAGGUUUUUCAUUUGAUCAGGAAAGGCAGAGCUGAAGAAAAGGUCUGGAAAUCAGCCCGUCUUCAUUUUGGACCUGUUAUGCCCGCUGGGGGAGAGGGUGAGGACAAGCAAAGAAUGGGAUAUUAAUGACUUUCCCAUCGCACCUGGAGCAGAACUGGAACACAGUAUGCUGGCUGCUCGGGAAGUGCGCUGAGAUUUCUCCUACAGACUUAGAUUCUAAUUUCAUUUCUAAUUUGGAAUGGCUCCCAGUGCUCUGCAAGGCCUGUCUAAAUGACUAGAAGAGGCAUUGCAUAGGAUAUUGUCUUCAUCACAGUGAAAAGGAAAUUACCAAGGUAACUCACUGCAUUCCUGGAAGCUUUAAUGAAUACUUAGCCAAUUUUGCCUUUGAACUGUGGCAUGAAAGCAGUCUUUGCAGCAGCCCCUUCACCUAUAUAAUAAUAAUUGGUA